rnacentral:rRNA from 1 species
AUACGAAGGGGGCUAGCGUUGUUCGGAUUUACUGGGCGUAAAGCGCACGUAGGCGGAUUGACAAGUUAGGGGUGAAAUCCCGAGGCUCAACCUCGGAACUGCCUCUAAAACUGUCAAUCUAGAGACCGGAAGAGGUGAGUGGAACUCCUAGUGUAGAGGUGGAAUUCGUAGAUAUUAGGAAGAACACCAGUGGCGAAGGCGGCUCACUGGUCCGGUACUGACGCUGAGGUGCGAAAGCGUGGGGAGCGAACAGGAUUAGAAACCCCAGUAGUCC